UCCAGAGAGGCUGGCUGUCCCCAGGCCCAGGUGUCAGCUGACCCUACCCCCUGGGCAUCCCUGGCCCCUGGCCUCUGAUCCCUGGCCAGAGAGAAGACGGUAGAGUGGGCUCUCUGAGGAGUAUCAGGAACUUGGGACUCAUGGAUGCCUCCUCUGUCCUCCAUUCUACUCCCUGGGAUGCACUCUCCUCAUGACCUCCAAUCUGACCCAAUUCUUCAGGAAUCUCAGAGCCACUUUUGGAACUCACAGAUAGGUAAUACAAACUAACAAGCAAACAAACAAACGUACAGGAUUGGUUAUUUUUCUGGUCAUGUAUUUCAAGGUCAUUUAUCUUCUAUUACCUCAUGUCGUAACAGUUUUUUACUUAAUUUUUUUGUGUCCUUAGGGAUUCCUCACUCUGAGUUAACUUUUUUUUUUUUUUUUUUUUUAAUAUAUAGAAGCAUGGAGAUGCAGAGGCAAUGGAAAAGAGGGAAAGACAGCACAAUACUGAAAUUACUGCAGUGUGGCCAGGUUUGACACAAUACAUGGCAGGGUCACUAUCUGUGUGAGUGAGCUUGUUCUCCCAAGACUUUAAAAAGGAGGAUCUUUAUUUAUUAUUAUUUUUUUUUGCAGAAUUUGACAAACUAAAUCUAAAAUUCAUAUGGAAAUUCAAUGGGCUCAGAAAAGUCAAGUGACUUCAUAAAGGAAGAGUAACAUUGGGAAACUCACUCAUACCAGUUUCAAAACUCAGCACAAAGCUACAACCAUGAAGACAGAGUGGUCCUGACAGGGCCAGGUGAUAGUGCACAUGGUUAACUACACACAUAGCAGAGUGGUCCUGGCAUAAGGAUGUGCAUGGAGAAAAUGGAAUAACUCUAAAAGUGCUAAGGCAAACCCCUGCACUUAUGCUCAAGUGAUUUUGACAAGGAUACCAAUGCCAUUCAGUGGGGAGGCUUUUGACUGAUGGUGCUAGGUUAAUUGGACAGGCACUUGCAAAAGAAUGAAUUUGGAUCCCUGAGUCUUAUCCAACAAAACUCAGUCCAGAAUGGACCAGAAACCUAUAUUAAGAAGUGAUAAACUUUUAGAAGGAAUAGAGGGGUAAAUAUUUGCAACUGUGAGGUCAGCAAAGACUUCUUAGGUAUAGCACCUAAAGCAUAAAAAAAAAAAAAAAACAGUAAGAGAAAAAAAAAGACCAAUUAUGCAUUACCAAAAUGAAAAAAACAAAACAAACAAAAAACCAAACUCAUGUUUUCAAC